GGCCAUAUCAUGUUGAUACACCGAUUUCCGUACGAUCACCAAAGUUAAGCAACGUUGAGUCUGGUCAGUACCUAGAUGGGUGACCGCCUGGGAAUAUCAGGUGCUGUAA